rnacentral:rRNA from 1 species
AAGCGGGAAAAGCUCAAGUUUGAAAUCUGGGGGGGCCUGCUCCCUCAGAGUUGUAAGCUGAAGAGGUUUUGACCGACGCGGCACGGGCUCAAUUUCCUUGGAACAGGAGGUCAUGGAGGGUGAGAACCCCGUCUAUGGCUCGGAUGCCGUCGUCCUUGUGUCGUUUCCUCGAAGAGUCGGGUUGUUUGGGAAUGCAGCUCAAAAUGGGUGGUAAAUUUCAUCUAAGGCUAAAUAUUGGCGAGAGACCGAUAGCAAACAAGUAGAGUGAUCGAAAGAUGAAAAGUACUUUGAAAAGAGAGUGAAACAGUAUGCGAAAUUGUUGAAAGGGAAGCGUUUGGCAUCAGCCCAUGGCCUCUGGCGAUCAUCCAGGCUUCUGCCUGGUGCACUCGUCAGUGGCUGGGCCAGC